rnacentral:rRNA from 1 species
GGCUUGUUGAGUAUAAUUUCAGGUCUGGCCUGCCCAAUGAGUAAUUAAAUGGCUGCGGUAUACUGACCGUGCAAAGGUAGCAUAAUCAUUAGUUUUUUAAUUGAAAGCUUGUAUGAAAGGUUUGAUGAGAAAGUUACUGUCUCUAGGAAGAUUAAUUAGAACUUUAUUUUUAAGUAAAAAAGCUUAAAUGUGUAUAGAAGACGAGAAGACCCUAUAGAGUUUCAUAUUUUUGUAAAGAUUUUGGAUUUUUGGAAAUGAAAAAUCUAGUAUUUUUUAGAAAGUAUUUUGUUGGGGUGAUAGGAAAAUUAAUUAAACUUUUCUUGGUUUGGUACAUUAAUGUGUGGGUAUAUGAUCCUAUAGUUUAGAUUACAAGAUAAAAUUACCUUAGGGAUAACAGCGUGAUUUUUUAGAGAGUUCUUAUCGAAAAAAAAGUUUGCGACCUCGAUGUUGGAUUAAAAUGAGUUAUUGGUGAAGAAGCUAAUAAACUAGGUCUGUUCGACCUUUAAAAUUUUACAUGAUCUGAGUUUAAACCGGUGUGAG